rnacentral:tRNA from 1 species
UGUGGCUCAGUGGUAGAGCGCUUGCCUUGCAUGCAUGAAGCCCUGGGUUUGGGCUGGGAGUGUGGCUCAGUGGUAGAGCGCUUGCCUAGCAUGCAUG